UAUUGGGCGAUACCCCGAUGGUUGGUC
rnacentral:sRNA from 1 species